AGUCCACCCUGGCGGGGUCGCAGGGUUGGGAUGGCAGCUGGAGGCGAUCAUGGUUCGCCCGACAGCUACCGCUCACCUCUUGCCUCCCGCUAUGCCAGCCCGGAGAUGUGCUUCGUGUUUAGCGACAGGUAUAAAUUCCGGACAUGGCGGCAGCUGUGGCUGUGGCUGGCGGAGGCCGAGCAGACAUUGGGUUUGCCUAUCACAGAUGAACAAAUCCAGGAGAUGAAAUCAAACCUGGACAACAUCGACUUCAAGAUGGCAGCUGAGGAAGAGAAACGUUUACGACAUGAUGUGAUGGCUCACGUGCACACAUUUGGCCACUGCUGUCCAAAAGCUGCAGGCAUUAUUCACCUUGGUGCUACUUCUUGCUAUGUUGGAGACAAUACUGCCUGCACAGCUGACCACAGUUGGGAAACGUUGCUGUCUUUGGAUUCAGGAUCUUUGCAUGGAUCUCCAGAACUUGAAGCGUGUCCGAGAUGACCUGCGCUUCCGGGGAGUAAAGGGCACCACUGGCACUCAGGCCAGUUUCCUGCAGCUCUUUGAGGGAGAUGACCAUAAGGUAUUCUGAAAGUGACCUGCAGGACACAGAAACUCAAUGGUGGAGCCUAAGAGACAAGGCUGCCUUUGAGGAUGAUGGGAGAGAUUGACUGUGGGAUGGGUGGGGUCUUUCGACUAGAAGGAAGUUGUGGGGGUUAGGGAGCAAGACCUGAGUAGGAUGACAGGUUGAGGCAUUCUCACACUGGACACAUGGAUUAUUAUAAGGAUGUGUCUUUUCUUUCCAAGGUAGAGCAGCUUGACAAGAUGGUGACAGAAAAGGCAGGAUUUA
rnacentral:sRNA from 1 species